GACGAACGCUGGCGGCGUGCCUAAUACAUGCAAGUAGAACGCUGAAGGAGGAGCUUGCUCUUUCCGGAUGAGUUGCGAACGGGUGAGUAACGCGUAGGUAACCUGCCUGGUAGCGGGGGAUAACUAUUGGAGACGAUAGCUAAUACCGCAUAAUAGCAGUUAUUGCAUGAUAACUGUUUGAAAGGUGCAAAUGCACCACUACCAGAUGGACCUGCGUUGUAUUAGCUAGUUGGUGAGGUAACGGCUCACCAAGGCGACGAUACAUAGCCGACCUGAGAGGGUGAUCGGCCACACUGGGACUGAGACACGGCCCAGACUCCUACGGGAGGCAGCAGUAGGGAAUCUUCGGCAAUAGACGGAAGUCUGACCGAGCAACGCCGCGUGAGUGAAGAAGGUUUUCGGAUCGUAAAGCUCUGUUGUAAGAGAAGAACGAGUGUGAGAGUGGAAAGUUCACACUGUGACGGAUCUACCUAAAGGCGCA
rnacentral:rRNA from 1 species